rnacentral:tRNA from 1 species
GGGGUUGUGGCUCAAGUGGUAGAACACUCACCUAGCAUGUGUGAGGCCCUGGGUUAGAUCCUCAGCACCACA